AUGUGGGGCCAAGCUGGGUACCUCGUGGCCUGGAAGCAGAGCCCAGGGAGCGCUGUGCAGAGGUGUACCCACCCACGGCACCCCCUGGGCCACCUGCCUCCACGCAGGUGUCAUCUCCUGACCGCACACCCAGCUGGGAGCACUGAUGAAUCGAUCCACCGGUUCACAGCCUGGUUUAUUCACUGCCUUUCUCUGGCUUGUCUCAGAAAUCUUCAACAUCAAUCUCACCCCUUUGAACUGGGAAAGGCUCUCUUUGGGACACCCAAAUUCCCCCAGACUCAAAAAUUGUUAAGGCUCACCGGAACUUGUUAAUUUGAUAAGUUAAAGACCUAAUGAUACACAGAUAGCUAUGCGCACACAAACACUUCGUAGUCUCUAUACCAUACUGACUAGUAGGCUGAUUGGCAGAGAUAUCUAAAAGGCCGAAAGCCCAGUGACCCAGCCACAGUAGGAUUCAAGUCCAGUCUUCUGAGUAUUUCUUUUAGAAGCUGCUGCUAUGGCCCAGGGUUUCUGUGUCAUCAGUUCUGGCCCACUGGGUGGCUGGAGGAGGGCAGGAAUGGACAGGUUGCUGGAAAAAGGGGCUGUGUGGCCGACAUGCUUGCAAUUUAUAGCACAUCUCUGCUGAGCACACUUGCAAAAGCCAUCACACUGCUGCCACACGCUUCAAGGAAGAGCUGGUGUUGAGGACGAUGAAGACUCUCUGCACCGAGGGCCCUCCGGCAAGCCAGGAACAUCUGUCACCAAUAUUUCUCCUUCCAAUGGCACCUGCGGCUUCCCUACCCACCCUGCAUACUUCCUGCUGCCUCUCUUCACUUCCCCUCACCUCCAUGAAACACAGGCGCUGUGUAGGGGAGGUCUGGCGGGUGUCUGUGUGAUUUAGAGCCCGGGCUUCAGUGUCUGAGCUCACAUUCCAGGCCUGACAACUGAGUCCCAUAAACUCUCCUGUCACUUCCCGGCCCCUCCUCCGGCUCCUGCCCUGGAGCUCCCCUCCCUCGCUCUGUAAACUCCGGGAGUUUUGCUUCCAAGGGCUCACAUUUGGAGGUAGGAAUUACAAUGGACUUUCAGGAGCCAAAGCAAACCCUACAGUGAGAGGAUGAACCCCACUCAAAGAGCUCUGCACGCAUCAUCACCUCAAGUCUGAGGCGUGGCAGAGUCACAGGCUAGAGAAGGAGGAAAAUUCGGGAUUUUCGAAAAAGUAAAGUAUGCUUCAUCUGGAUGCAGUAAAUUUUAUUUUUAUGAAGGUGGUUGUAAAUUUCAAUAAAUCUCCUACUUUGAGCUCCCAGGGUAAGAGUUAUUUGAACCCCGCGCCUUUCCCAGGGGUGGCAUGUGAGGCUGGAGAGCACCUCUGGUUC
rnacentral:lncRNA from 1 species